rnacentral:lncRNA from 1 species
AGACCAAAGCAAGCAAGCAACAAAACAACCCGCGGACAGGAUGCGGAUACGCAGACAGCCCCGCACUUCAGCUCUGAGAAAGUACGCCAGCCACGCGAAAAGAAACUUGACAGUACUUUUGAGCCGUGGCGUGGGCUCGUUUCAUUUGGCUUUCUUUUCGUGGGCGAAAAAGGCUGCUGGCUGGUGAGCCUCGAGAGUUGGAGGCCCCGCCGCUGCUGCUGCCCCGGGGCCCCCUCCCGGCCUCCCCCUCCUGAGGGGACGAUCGCCCCGCAGCCCACAACCCCCCCCAGCGCCGGCGGGGGCUGGGCCCGCAGGCCCUUUGACAGAUCUCGGCAACGAACCGGCGGGAACAGAGCACAAGGCAGGCGGGGACGCCGGAAUCCGACGGCGACCGAGGCGGCCCCCGGGCGAGGCCGUGGCCGAGGCGAGCGGGCCGGGCCCCUCCGCCGGCUCCCGCUCCCCGCCACGCCUCAGGCGCCCUCACUCUCUGGGGCCGCCCCCUGCGGGCGUUGGUACAGCCCCGCCCGGCGCUCCCCCGCCCCACCGAGGGAUGGAACCUCCCGCACAAAACCGUUUAAAUUCGAGCCCUCAACGGUCGCUUUCCCCUCCGCCACUGGCAGGUGCCCGGGGCUCGCGCCCCCGCGAGCGCGGUGGCGUCACACAGGCUGCAGCGCGAGCCGAGGGAAGCUGCGCCGCCCCACCCCUCCCGCGCCCGCUUUUAACCUCAUUCACGCUUUGGUUCCCUCGCGCCCACCCCCCGCCCAACGGCCCGCCGAUGCCGUGCGCACGCGCAGUGGCGCCGCGCCGCCCUCCCCGUCGUGCACGCGCUCGCCCCCUCUCCUCCCUCUCCCCCCCCACCCCCCAACUCCGCGCGCCGCCGUGUGGGCGGGGCGCGCGACCGAGCGCCUCCGGGGGGGGCGGGUGAGGGAGGGGGGGGGCGCGGGAGCGCCAGGGCCGCGGCGGCGGGAGCGGCAGCCUCUCGGCCGGCGGCAGCGGUCCCCGGUGCGUGGGCUCCGUCGGCGGCCCUCUGCCUCCUUCCCUCUCCGCGUUCCCCUGGGGACGGCUUCGGGCAAGCCUCCCCUCGCCGCCCCCGCCCCGUUCUCUUCCUCUCCGCUCGCUUGCGUGUGA